rnacentral:rRNA from 1 species
UACGGGGGGAGCAAACGUUGUCCGGAAUCAUUGGGCGUAAAGAGCGUGUAGGCGGUCCGGUAAGUCCGCUGUGAAAGUCGGGGGCUCAACCCUCGAAUGCCGGUGGAUACUGUCGGGCUUGAGUACGGAAGAGGCGAGUGGAAUUCCUGGUGUAGCGGUGAAAUGCGCAGAUAUCAGGAGGAACACCAAUUGCGAAGGCAGCUCGCUGGGACGUUACUGACGCUGAGACGCGAAAGCGUGGGGAGCAAACAGG